rnacentral:rRNA from 1 species
AUUGAACGCUGGCGGCAGGCCUAACACAUGCAAGUCGAGCGAGCGGCGGACGGGUGAGUAAUGUAUGGGGACUGCCCGAUAGAGGGGGAUAACUACUGGAAACGGUGGCUAAUACCGCAUACUAUCGGAUAACCCAUAUGGGAUUAGCUAGUAGGUGGGGUAAAGGCUCACCUAGGCGACGAUCCCUAGCUGGUCUGAGAGGAUGAUCAGCCACAUUUGGACUGAGACACGGGCCAGACUCCUACGGAGGCAUAAGUGGGGAAUAUUGCACAAUGGGCGCAAGCCGGAUGCAGCCAUGCCGCGUGUAUGAAGAAGUCCUUCGGGUUGUAAAGUACUUUCAGCUGGGAGGCGUUACCCGAAGAAGAAGCACCGGCUAACUCCGUGCCAGCAGCCGCGGUAAUUC